UUUGAUUAUUCUGAGGGUUUUGUGUUUUAUAUAAAUUUUAAGGUAGAUAGCCAUGGGGUCUCCAACUGCAUGCCAGAUUAACUGGAGAGACUUUGACAGCCCAGGCCAGCACAGUUCCUGCAGCUGCCACUCGACUUUCCUAUACAU